rnacentral:tRNA from 1 species
AAAAAUUUAGUUAAUAUUUAUAACAUUAACUUGUCAAGUUAAAAUAAUCUUAUAGAUAAUUUUUA